rnacentral:lncRNA from 1 species
UUUCGUUAUUGCAAAAUUCAUAUUAUUCAAACGGUUCCAGUAACUACAACAUCAAGUAAAAGCCUGAAAAUAUCGAAACUAAAAAAUGAAGUUAUAUUUCGUUUGUCUCAUCUUCAUACUACUUGGCGCUUUUGCCUUGAAUGUGGAGGCGAAACCUAAACCUUGCUUUGGACAUCAUACAACACCUUCAGUAAAGGAUUUAAUUGAAGAUCUCUUGGAUCAAUUGAAGAAAAAAACUUAAAGCGAAUCUCCUAAGUCAGUUCUUUAGUUAAUUAAUAUGGGUAAUCCCAUACACGAAUAAAAAAAUUGGAUUCGAAAUAUAAA